rnacentral:rRNA from 2 species
UAGAGUUUGAUCCUGGCUCAGGAUGAACGCUGGCGGCGUGCCUAAUACAUGCAAGUCGAGCGAACUGAUUAGAAGCUUGCUUCUAUGACGUUAGCGGCGGACGGGUGAGUAACACGUGGGCAACCUGCCUGUAAGACUGGGAUAACUUCGGGAAACCGAAGCUAAUACCGGAUAGGAUCUUCUCCUUCAUGGGAGAUGAUUGAAAGAUGGUUUCGGCUAUCACUUACAGAUGGGCCCGCGGUGCAUUAGCUAGUUGGUGAGGUAACGGCUCACCAAGGCAACGAUGCAUAGCCGACCUGAGAGGGUGAUCGGCCACACUGGGACUGAGACACGGCCCAGACUCCUACGGGAGGCAGCAGUAGGGAAUCUUCCGCAAUGGACGAAAGUCUGACGGAGCAACGCCGCGUGAGUGAUGAAGGCUUUCGGGUCGUAAAACUCUGUUGUUAGGGAAGAACAAGUACGAGAGUAACUGCUCGUACCUUGACGGUACCUAACCAGAAAGCCACGGCUAACUACGUGCCAGCAGCCGCGGUAAUACGUAGGUGGCAAGCGUUAUCCGGAAUUAUUGGGCGUAAAGCGCGCGCAGGCGGUUUCUUAAGUCUGAUGUGAAAGCCCACGGCUCAACCGUGGAGGGUCAUUGGAA